GGCAGUGUUGUUUAUUAAAAUAAGAUAGCAUUAACAGUUUGAGCGUAGUUACAGUCAACAGUGACUAUAAAUGCUAAAACUGAAUAUAUUGCAUAGUGUUCCCCCCCUCCACCAUUAACAAAUGGUUCAGCCCAUAGCAGGACCCGCUUUUUUCUUGUUUUCAGUAGCAAGCGAUGUUUAUGAUUGCGCCAGAGCACAUUUUGAACAACACCAUGGGAAUUUCGGAUUUUACACAGGUGGUUGGAUGUUACACUCUGGAAAUUGAAGGAAGUCCUGGAUACAGCGGGGUCUGAGUUUAGACCCAACAUUUAUUUGGUCCUCCGAGCCGGAUCCUAACACAUCGCAUUCACCGAGGAGAGGGAGAGGACGCCACCGCAGUCUGCUAGCAGCCAUCGUCUGGGACGAUUGACGAAAGCCCUGGUACUUUGCUUUGUUCCAGGCCGGACAGUUUGCGCCUGAACUCCCCUCGGGAUGGAUGGCGAUUGACGGGAACCAGAGACUCUUCCCAUGAACGGAAACAACACGAACAGUGAGUACAGAAGGCCUUAGAGAGCGGCUACGUGCCCGUGCGUUAAAGCAGGUACGUGAGUGCGCAAGCUGUGCGUGUAGACGCAAGCUGCCUGGUUUCUCCGCCAGUGUUUUUGUUUGUUUUUAAUCUUUUUUGAUUUAUUUAAGGAGGGUUAAGUCGGUUUCUCCACCGAAGGAGGUUUAAAGAGGUUUCUCCACCGAAUUGAAGGAGGGUAAGGACGGUUUCUCCACCGAAAGGAGGAUAGAGCUCUAUAAAGAUAAAAAAAGGUUCUCCGCAGUUAAGGGCGUUGAGUGUAUGGUUUCUCCACCAAUGGUAAGGAGGAAAGAGCUCGCCGCGGUAAGGGGGAUUAUAGGCCUAAAAAGAGUGUGAAUGAGCGUAUAUGUGUGUGAGUGCCAGUAAAGUGAACGCAGCAGCACAGAAGGAAACCUAAGUGGUGUUAACGGAUUUCGGUGACCUGUUAUGUACAUGUAGCCUGGGUUUUGGUGUAAGUCGCGUUGCCUGCUGCAAACUUAAAAGAAGUCGGCCUUGAAAGAGGAUGAAAUACACUGCAAAGUUUUUAUUGGGCAGCACGUGGUGUGUGGAUCGUUGAAGAAUGAAGUGAAAUUGUGCGCUAAGCAGAAGUGAGUGUGAGCGUGUCUGACGGCACGGUGUGUGAAAAGGUAUCCAGCUGGGGCAGACGUGAUUCUGCAGGUCACCUGCCCAGCGGACAAAGAAAUAAAAUAGUUGUGUGGUGAAUGAUAGCACGAAGAGUGUUUGGUGUUUCUCAGCCUGAAACAGCUGUAACGCUACUUUCUGUUUAUGAGAGAGAGAGAGAGAGAUGUGUGUUGUUUUAAGCAGUGAUGAGAAUAAUGGAAAUGUGAUGAGAGAUGAACACAAAAACAUACAGAAAAUGCAUCAACCAUACUAACCCUACAUGCAUACAUAAUAAAUGAUACUCAUGAAGACCAGACAGCAUCUUAAGCAUGAGAUUCUGUUUGUCAUCUUGUGCAAGUCACUAGUAAGAUGAAAGUGAUACAUAGACUAGUGGACUGAAUAUUAUAGGAGGACAGAUGACUGCAUCAUAGAGGAAAACAGAAUGCUGAUGAGGGGUUUUAAAUGAGUGAGCUGAGUGAGCUGAUUGUGAGUUUCUGGUGUGUGAAGAAGUUUUACCAUGGCACACAUUUGGUUAUAUGAGAAGAAACUUAUUAUGUGACGAGACAACAGGGUUAUGCUGUAUGUUGUGUGUGGCUGAUUGGAUGAAUGUUUGAGAUUGAUCUAGCUGUUGAUUUGUCUUUUGUUACUAAGUUGAGCCUGCCAAAUGGGUUGUUACAAUUUAUCCCCCUGGCAUGAAGAACACGUGUCAUGACUUAAACAAGGCCUUUCUUUCCUUUGCUUUCCUUUAUUUUAUUUUAUUUCUUUUUAUUUUGAUACUUUCACAGUGCACUGAAGGUUUCGUUUGAUGAUCUCUGUUUGAGCAGAGAUGCACAAUUAGAACAGAAGCGCUAUACGACUCGUCGUCGAGAAAACUGUUGCAAAGUGAGUUUCUCCAAAAAUUAAAAUGGGCUUGGGAGAGAGCCACUUAUUUGGGACAAUCAGAAAACAAGUCCCUGUCAAAACGGAUUCAGCGAGGUAAUCCAGUCUAAAUUAUUUUUCUUUUUUGAAUUGACGUCAUUGCUGGCAGUAGAAACUUGUUGCGUCACGAGAGCUUCUACUGUCACCAAAUAAAAAUGGGGAAAAACUGACUGACAAAAGCUGACAAGACUGACUGACUUAACACCAUUGUGUGAAGUUAACCCCACCUGACAAAGGUGUGGAUGUAUCUCUGUGUGUGUCUUCUGUUGCAGGAGCAGAAGGAGAUCACAGGAGGAAACUUAGGUCACAUGACUAUGUGAACUCUGCAGAUUUAACCUUUUAGUUUAAAAUUUUCUCUGUCUGUGAAUUCACCAUGGGUGCGUUAUUAACUACUUUGUGUUGCUCACAGAGAUUACUGUGAGAAAGAGUGUAUACAAAUGCGCGCAGCGCUAACAUUAACAUUUCUUUUCACAGCAGAUGGUUAAUCAUGUGAUUUGAUCAUGUGAUUUAUAGCAGGACACAUCUUAAUGUGUUUUUCUACCACAGGAUUACUGAGAUUUUGUGUGAAGAAAACUGUGGUUACAGGCUGUGUGUUGGUGAUUAAAUUAUACCGUGUUGGAGAAAAUAUGAAUGUUACAAGGGAGAAGUGAAUACAGUGUGACACUGUGUUUGAAACCAGUGUUACUUCUUUUUACAGCAUCUCUGGAAUCUGGAUGGCCGACGCCUGACCACCAGGAUGAACGUGUGUUUGGCUAAUGUUUGUUUUUCCUUAAGAGUGUUUGUAAAGGAUUCAGCACAGACAGACAAGUGACAAUUGAACAAAUGUGCAGUGGUUACAGAAUAGUUGAAUAUGGGGCUCAUUAGCUGGCCACUAUUGAGCUCACAGUGAUAAAAAUGAGUGGUGUGACAUUGCUUAAGGAAAGUCACCGAUUAAAUUGUGGAAUAAAUUGGGAUGAUUCAUGAUUUGGGACAAAUUAUGAUAAUAAUAGUGAUUUAAUGACUGGAGAAAACCUGCACAUGAUAUUUGUCUUUUAUGCUGAAUACCUUAUUACUCAUAUGAUCUAUAGUCGGUUGAAAAUGUGAAGUUUGAUGUAACAGAUUUGUCUUCCAGGAUACAGGCUCUAGGUGGAGCUGAGAGUUAGACAAGCUAAACAUUUAAUUGCUGACUAAUGUUUUACACAGGGUUACAGGUUGGAGUGAAGCUGCUCCAAGGGACAAACCCUGGAGAUUGUUUUAGGGAGACUGUGCAACAUUCUUGUACAUGUCUCAUUAGGGAGUUGACACAAGAGAGGAAGCCAUGUGGCGAGAGGAGUGUCAUUUUAAUUUGCAGAUGUCGUGAGAUGCCAUGACGAGAGAAGUGACUGAGAGGAUCGUCCACAAGAUGGAAGCUGAGGCCUGGAGAGAGUCUUCAGGAGGAUCAGAGAUCACCUUCAGCACAGAGAGCUGUGCUACUGGGCUUCCAGGAGAUCGUCAUGAGGAGACUCUGCACAGCAAAAUCUUAAAUAAGAUGAAAGACUUUCGACGUUGACGUUGAGGAAGACAACUAAGGUGUACGACGUGCUCUGCCUUUAAAAUCUUCAGCAACGUUGAACCAUGAGAACUUGAGGGAGCGUGCCAAGCUCCAAAAAGUGACGGCGCAGAGGAGGUCCAGCGAUGGACUUGUGGUUCUGUGAACAGCACAAAUGCCAGAUGAUUCUGUUCUCUGCAGGAGCAGAGUCUGAAGUCUGGAGAUUGGACGUUGACAAGGCCAUGGAGAGGAAGUGCUGGUCCAGUCCACGGUGGGAAGGUCCCUAUCGGGUGCUGCUGACGACGACCACAGCGGUGAAGAUUGCUGAAAGGAGUACUUGGAUACAUCAAGCGCACUGCAAGAAGGUGACGCACAUCCAGGCCAGCUCGGGGUAAGUGGCAGGAAGACCGGGUACAAAGGGGGGGAAAGCCUCCAGGGCCCCUCGUCUCAAUCCGGUGAAGAAACCAACUGAGCCACAGGUACUCAUCAGAAUGGCUGGGAAUGUGCUGUGCGCCUUCUUGUGCCUGUGGACCCAGAGUGGGAUGACAGGAAGCGCACUGGGACAGAGCAAACCACACCCAGUACCCGCAUGGGGUUUUCAACAACUACUGGUGGCAGUUUGUGAACACAACCGCUCACAUAAAGAACGAGACCAAUGGCUAUGCUUGUGAUGCCACUGGUUACACAUUCUUCUGGACUGUGGCCAUAUAGCAUCACUGAGAGUGAGACAGUUUGUUGGUUGCCGUAGCAACACAUCCAGGAGUAAACGUACUUGGAACACUGCCAACUUUUCAACUUCUGAACCUGAAUGGACGGUUGAUUCACCAGUAGCUGGGAAGGUGAACUGCUCUGGUAUGACAGAUCUGCUAGUCUGACUCCAAGAAUCUGACUCGCUGCAGGACAUUGAACAGCUAAAUGAACUGGAAAUAGGCCAGUUGCCUAUGUGUAUGAAGGGCAAUGGAUUAGUCCAAGUUGGAGAUUUACCAUGAAAUUUGUGCAACGUCACCUAUUCUUUGUGUCCUCUGUGAGAAGGAUGCAAACAGAGAAGCCUUUUGUCUACAUUUACAUCAUGAACACUUCUGUAAGCUGGUUGAGGUUUUGAGCCAAGAAGAUCAAAACAGCUUGAUCCAAUUUCCUUUACAAAGCUUUUCCU
ensembl:lncRNA